UGACCAGCUUGCUGGUCGGAUCAGUGGCGAACGGGUGAGUAACACGUGAGUAACCUGCCCCAGACUCUGGGAUAAGCCUUGGAAACGAGGUCUAAUACUGGAUAUGAGAUGCCCCUGCAUGGGGAGUGUCUGGAAAGAUUUAUCGGUCUGGGAUGGACUCGCGGCCUAUCAGCUUGUUGGUGGGGUAAUGGCCUACCAAGGCGACGACGGGUAGCCGGCCUGAGAGGGCGACCGGCCACACUGGGACUGAGACACGGCCCAGACUCCUACGGGAGGCAGCAGUGGGGAAUAUUGCACAAUGGGCGCAAGCCUGAUGCAGCGACGCCGCGUGAGGGAUGAAGGCCUUCGGGUUGUAAACCUCUUUCAGCAGGGAAGAAGCGCAAGUGACGGUACCUGCAGAAGAAGCGCCGGCUAACUACGUGCCAGCAGCCGCGGUAAUACGUAGGGCGCAAGCGUUGUCCGGAAUUAUUGGGCGUAAAGAGCUCGUAGGCGGUUUGUCGCGUCUGGUGUGAAAACUCAAGGCUCAACCUUGAGCUUGCAUCGGGUACGGGCAGACUAGAGUGCGGUAGGGGUGACUGGAAUUCCUGGUGUAGCGGUGGAAUGCGCAGAUAUCAGGAGGAACACCGAUGGCGAAGGCAGGUCACUGGGCCGCAACUGACGCUGAGGAGCGAAAGCAUGGGGAGCGAACAGGAUUAGAUACCCUGGUAGUCCAUGCCGUAAACGUUGGGCACUAGGUGUGGGGCUCAUUCCACGAGUUCCGUGCCGCAGCAAACGCAUUAAGUGCCCCGCCUGGGGAGUACGGCCGCAAGGCUAAAACUCAAAGGAAUUGACGGGGGCCCGCACAAGCGGCGGAGCAUGCGGAUUAAUUCGAUGCAACGCGAAGAACCUUACCAAGGCUUGACAUACACCGGAAACUUCCAGAGAUGGUUGCCCCGCAAGGUCGGUGUACAGGUGGUGCAUGGUUGUCGUCAGCUCGUGUCGUGAGAUGUUGGGUUAAGUCCCGCAACGAGCGCAACCCUCGUCUUAUGUUGCCAGCACGUCAUGGUGGGGACUCAUAAGAGACUGCCGGGGUCAACUCGGAGGAAGGUGGGGAUGACGUCAAAUCAUCAUGCCCCUUAUGUCUUGGGCUUCACGCAUGCUACAAUGGCCGGUACAAAGGGCUGCGAUACCGCGAGGUGGAGCGAAUCCCAAAAAGCCGGUCUCAGUUCGGAUUGGGGUCUGCAACUCGACCCCAUGAAGUCGGAGUCGCUAGUAAUCGCAGAUCAGCAACGCUGCGGUGAAUACGUUCCCGGGCCUUGUACACACCGCCCGUCAAGUCACGAAAGUCGGUAACACCCGAAGCCGGU
rnacentral:rRNA from 1 species